AAGGGCAUAAAUUUCCACUGAUUUCAGCCUUGCUGCAUUUUUACCGAAGACCUCCACCAGCAACAUGAAGUUGGGAGGCCUCCUCCUCCUUGUGACCUUCAUCACCGUCAGCUUAGAGGUAGAGGUGCUUCAGGCUGAAGUGAAAC